UACAGAGACUGCAAGCGUUACUCGGAUUCACUGGGCGUAAAGGGAGCGCAGGCGGGCGGGUGUGUCAGACGUGAAAUCCCGGGGCUCAACCCCGGGGCUGCGUUUGAAACUACCUGUCUAGAGAUUCGGAGGGGUAAGCGGAAUUCCUGGUGGAGCAGUGAAAUGCGUAGAUAUCAGGAGGAACACCAACGGCGAAGGCAGCUUACUGGACGAAAUCUGACGCUCAGGCUCGAAAGCAUGGGGAGCAAAAGGG
rnacentral:misc_RNA from 1 species